rnacentral:rRNA from 1 species
GUCUAUGUCUAUGCUACCCUGAACAAGCCCGAUCCCGUCUCAUCUCGGAAGCUAAGCAGGGUCAGGCCUGUUUAGUACUUGGAUGGGAGACCACCUAGUAAAACCAGGUGCUAUAGGCA